GGCUUGGUAGCUUAGUUGGUAAAGCACUUGUCUAGCGAAUAAGGGUCGUGAGUUCAAAUCUCACCUUAACUG
rnacentral:tRNA from 1 species